UAUACGUGAUAGGGUGAAGAGAGAAGAAAGCUCAGAUAGGAAAUUAUUGCUAGAGUGAACCAUCCAGCUCAAAAGUGCUGGACUGGCAAAGAGCCAGAAGUAAAGCACGUUGUAGGAAAUUGUGCUCUGGCGACACACAAGGAAACCUGAAACUUAAGCCAUUUCAAGUGAGGUGACAGACCUUCCAAGAGAAUAACAGCAUCACACAACAGCCACUGAUUUAAUGAUGGAGCAAUGCUUCUUGCCAAUCAUCGUAUACAUAUUCAGUGACCUUGCAUGAAGAAACAUCCUGUCUGCAGAAAAGGAGACUGCACCUCAUCUACACAAGGCAGGGCUGAUAAGAGUCCUGGAAGAUGGGUUUCAGAGCAACAUUAUGCUGAGUGAAAUUACGCAUGUCCAAAAUGCAGUCACUUCCCUUUAUCUCUUAUAAACUCCAGAUCAACAAUGUCAGCCUCUGACUCCAGACCUACAGAUGGAGAAUGAUUCAUUCCCGUAUGGGUUUUCCACACGCAAAUGCAAUUAAGGAAUUUGAAAUUGUUUAAAAUAAUUAACAAUAAGCUCUCCUACUUUUCUCCCUUCCUUAGAUUAUUUUUCCUUAUGAACCAUCCCUGGUAACUCUUUUUUUUUUUUUUUGGUGAUACGCGGGCCUCUCACUGUUGUGGCCUCUCCCGUUGCGGAGCACAGGCUCCAGACGUGCAGACUCAGCGGCCCUGGCUCACGGGCCCAGCCGCUCCGUGGCAUGUAGGAUCCUCCUGGACCGGGGCACGAACCCAUGUCCCCCACAUCGGCACGCGGACUCUCAACCACUGCGCCACCAGGGAAGCCCCUGGGAACUCAUUUUUAAGAGCUUGAUCUUCCUUGACAUUAACGAGACUAAUGUUACCUUAUAAGCAGCCCCUUUAUGCCUAUUUGCUCAAUCAAAACCAAAUUUAAUCACUACAUUGCAUGCUGUGACUUAGACAAUGCUCUCAAAUUAGACCCUUUGCCAACUUGUGUCUCCUAGUAACUUUCUUGAUCUAAAUAGAAUCUUGACAUUAGAAUAGAUUUUCACAUCUGUUGACUAGUGAGUAGAAAAUAAUGGUCAGAUUUUAGGCAUACUUCUGUGAUUUAAAACUGGCCUAAACCUGUACCCUAACCCUAAUCCGUGCCCUAAACCAUACCCUAACCCUAAGCCAUACCGUAACCCUAACCUGUACCCUAACCCACACCCUAACCCCAACCCGUUGCCAUACCCUAACCCUUACCCUAACGCUAACCCUAACCUGAACCCUAAUCCUAACCUCUACCCUAACCCUAACCCCUACCCUAACCCAUACCCUAAACCCUAAUCCUUACCAAUAACUUAAUUUUAAAAAAAAAUAUUUUUCUGCGGUUAAAACAAAUUAGCAGAACAAAAUAAAACAGAAAGUAACCUGAGUGUCCCUCAAAAAAAAAAAACUGACCUAAUUUUAUAUAUAUUUUACAUCAAGAGAGGUUAGGUAUCUUUCAUUAUUAUCAAAGGGUUUCUGCCCCUUGCACUCCCUCCUUCCUUUACAAAAUGGCAUUUUGAACGAUUACACUAAGAAAGGAGGAAACAUUUUGAGCAGAGGCAGACUUGUGGCUCGCUGUCCAGGGAUUUACUGACUGGGAUGUACAGUGGCUUUUUGUUCACUGGAAGGCGUAACAGCUUGCUAAUAUCUUGUUGAGGGUGGUGGAGUGGCAUGUGAUAAAGUUCAGUUUGUUUCAUGCGGGUGUCAGUGGCCACAGGGAUCUGAUUUGAAGGGGCAGAGCAGGUAGCACUAGCUCUGGAUGUUCUGGGGCCUAAAAUUGUAGAGCAAGAGGUGUGUUUAUGAUGUGGUGAGGCAUACCAUGGGCCAGCUUGCUGGGGUUCAGCGCUGAGCUCCAAUCUCACAGAGGUUCAGGAGGGAGGCACAACCAGGCACAAAGGACCAGCUAUGAACCCUGGUCAGUCUUAGUGAAGCUAGAAAGGAAUAGUGGCUCUUGGUGCUCAUGUGGCAUCUGGGAUUCACUUUUCAUCAUGGGGAGCUCAGAGUAACAGACGAGCAUCAUUCUCCAGAGGAGGAGGAGGUAGGAAUGGAGCUGGGACUUGGGAAGGGUAAAAUUUUAAUUUCAGUUAUGAUGGAGUUCACAUUUGAAGUCUGGUCCUAUUGGGAGUGGCCUGAGAACUUAGAACCAGGGACUCAGAAGGGGGGGCCAAUGACGCAGGCUGACCACACACAGGAGAGAUAGUUAUUAAUACUUCCCACACCCCUAUGUUCAUAGCAGCACUAUUCACAAUAGCCAAGACAUGGAGAAAAGCUAAGUACCCAUUGACAGAUGAAUGGAUAAAGAUGUGGUAUGUACAUACAAUGGAAUACUACUCAGCCAUAAAAAAGAAUGAAAUAAUGUCAUUUGCAGCAACAUGGAUGGAACUAGAGAUUAUCAUACUAAGUGAAGUAAGUCAGAAAGAGAAAGACAAAUACCAUAUGGUAUCACUUAUAUGUGGAAUCUAAAAUAUGACACAAAUGAACUUAUCAACAAAACAGGAACAGACUCACAGAUAUAGAGAACAGACUUGUGGUCAUCAAGGGGGAGGGGGAGUUGGGGAGAGUUGGAGUGGGAGUUUGGGGUUAGCAAAUGCAAACAUUAUAUAUAGAAUGGAUAGGGCUUCCCUCGUGGCACAGUGGUUAAGAAUCUGCCUGCCAAUGCAAGGGACACGGGUUUGAGUCCUGAUCUGGGAAGAUCCCAUGUGCCACAGAGCAACUAAGCCCAUGCACCACAACUGCUGAGCCUGUGCUCUAGAGCCCAUGAGCCACAACAGCUGAAGCCACAACAACUGAAGCCACAACAAGUGAAGUGCCUAGAGCCCGUGCUUCACAGCAAGAGAAGCCACUGCAAUAAGAAGUCUGCACACUGCAACGAAGACCCAGUACAGCAAAAAAUAAAUAAAUAAAAAUAAAUACAUUUAUAAAAAAAUAAUAAUUACCCUCAUUUAUGUUAAGCACUUCAAAUAGUAAAUACAUUAAAUCCCUAUCACCCCACAAAAUACGAGCUAUUAAAAAAAAAAAGAAUAGAUAAACAACAAGGUCCUACUGUAUAGCACAGGGACCUAUAUUCAAUAUCCUGUGAUAAACCAUAAUGGAAAAUAAUAUUUAAAAAGAAUAUAUACAUAUAACUGAAUCACUUUGCUGUACAGCAGAAAUUAACACAACAUUGUAGGGACUCCCCUGGUGGCGCAGUGGUUGAGAGUCCACCUGCCAAUGCAGGGGACACAGGUUCAAUCUCUGGUCCGGGAAGAUCCCACAUGCCGCGGAGCAACUAAGCCCUUGUGUCACAACUACUGAGUCUGUGCUCUAGAGCCCGCAAGCCACAACUACUGAAGCCCAUGUGCCUAGAGCCCGUGCUCCGCAACAAGAGAAGCCACCACGGUGAGAAGCCCGUGCGCCGCAACGAAGAGUAGCCCCCGCUCGCCACAACUAGAGAAAGCCUGCGCGCAGCAACGAAGACCCAACGAGCCAAAAAUAAAUAAAAUUAAAUCUUAAAAAAAACCCAAAACCCCACAACAUUGUAAAUCAACUAUAUUACAAUUAAAAAAAAUUUUUCCUGAAGUACCAUUAACAUCUUUACAUAUAUCUCAUUGUCUAGAAUUUAGGCACAUGGUCACAACUGGCUGUAAGAAAGGUUGGGGAAUAUAGUCUUUUAUUCCAGGUGCCAGUGUGCUCAGAUAAAAACUGGGAUUCUGCUAAGGAAGAAGAGGGGAAUUGAUACAGGGAGGCAAUUACCACUUUCUACCACAUUCCUCACAUCCUCUGUAAGAGCACUGGCUUAAAAAAAAGAAAUCCUGACUGUGCCACUUGCCAACAGUAUGACCAAGAGCAAGUUAAUUAAUUCAUCUGAAUCUCAGUCCUAGCAUCUGUAAAAUCGGCAUAUCAGAACCUAGUCCACAGGUUUGUGAAGAUUAAAUAAAGUUAACGUAUGUAAACAGUACUAAAUACAUGUUGGUUUCCCUUGCCAUAAAGCUGGUUCUGCUUUUCCCUUGACCACUUUCCUGGUAGUAUUUUGACUUCUUGAUCAAGAUUACCCUGGGAGAUCAUAUUAACUAGAUCUUAUCCAUGAAGACAAGGAAGGGGACUCAUACAAUGCAAUUCUUCUCUUACCUCAAGGAAGGGAGUUGGUAGUAAUAAAACACAUUCAAUGAAUUAUUAGCAUUGAACCAUUCAUUGUAGGUUUCAUGAAAACUUUUGAAGAAAUUACUGAUUCAAGUCCAAACUGGUAUCCUCCUGAAGGAUGCCUUAAAAACAGUUAAGUGUGUCAUCUUGAAACAAAAUGAAGGCUAGAGUUUAUUAUUAAAAAUAGGUUUUAAAAAAAAAAAAUAGGUUUUUUUUUGGUGUCUGCCUGAAAUGAAGUCCAGUUAUGGAGCCUAAGCACUGAAAUAUUUGCUGCCUUUACAGUAAGACAUUUACGGCACCAUGUUUUUCUUGUCAUAUGAUUGUCACCUGUUAGACCUCAUUGUAAUCAUGGACUCAUACCUUUGGGUCCAGCUCUUGUUUCCUAAGGCAAUAUUAAACUUAGAUUAGAUAUGAACUCUCUGCUAAACUCAGUGGUUGAAAAAGUCCCUUCAGAAGUGCAGUAUCUGACUGUCCUCCUUUUGACCUUCUCUGUGCAUUUUCUUUCUUAUCUUGGUAACCAUAGAAAUAACUUGGAGAGGUGAAGUUGGCAGAGAUCCACGCCUUCACUGCAUGGAAGGUGACAGCUGCACUAGUGCUUUGCCAAUGACGAUUUGACAGAAAAGGUGAAGGGUUGGACCUUUAGCAGUAGCUAUUCUGGCUUUUGAAGGAGUGUGGGAGAAAGAGGGAGGGCGAAGGGCUUACUGUCCCUGAACUCUUAUCUCUCAGUUAAAUGCACCCCCAUAUCCCCUGAGACCCUUCAUUUUUCCCUCUACAGGUCACUGAUGCCCACACCUACUUGGUCCUUCUCUCCCACUUAGACUCAUUUGUCCUUAUCUCCUUCUACUGAUCUGUCAGACCCUGUGUCCUCUCUCAAGGUAUAGGGUGAAUGUGAACUUUGGAAUGACAAAGAUCUCUGAGCUAGUGCACCUGAUGCUCAAUUUCCUGCUCUGUGAAAUGGUAAUAAAACCUACUUCUCACAAUUAUUUUGAGGAUUAAAAAAAGAUGUAUUUAUGUAUACAUUUCUAGGCAUGCAGUAUGCAUCCUAUAAAUGUUGGUAUAUUUCCCUACAUAUUAAUCUUUCUCCUUUGACCAUUUCCAUGUUCUUUAUACCUCUAAAACUUUACUACUCGAAGUGUGGUUUGAGGACCAGCAACAUCUCAGACCCAGCCUGGACAGUAUGCAUUUUAACAACAUCUCCAGGCGCUUCAAAUGCAUGUUAAAGCUUGAGAAGCACUGCUGCAAGACAGAGACUCCUUCUCUCACCAUCCUUUUUCUAAAGGGGAAAGAAUAAUGAACAUCACUGAUUAUGUGCCUGCUCUGUGUCAGGUGCUGGUUUCUUUGCUGCCAUUUCCCUCCUCCUCACUCUGUGAGGUUGGCACUCUUUCCCUUUACCUGUGAAGAAAUGAAGAUGAAGGAGUUAACGCCCCAGCCCAAGAGCCAGUAGAAACUCAAACUCAAGUCUUUUUGCCUGAACACUUUACACUACUUCCAAACUACAUGGGUCUACUGGCUUUUACUGCUGCAGAAGGAGACAAAAGUGGGGGAAAAAAAAGAAAACGAAAACAGAACAAAACAAAAAGAGAGACAUGGAAGCACUAACCUUGAGUUUCUAUGAAAUCAAUAAAGAACCACUUUUUUUUUUUAGACUUAUAAGAAACAUUUUUAAUAUCAAUUUUAAGUUAGAGAGAUGCACAAUUUUUGUGUUUUUUAAAAAUUUAUCAGAACGGGAAAGAGAAAAAAUUUGAAAAUCACUGUUAUACAGCAAGCAUUAAUUUCCAAUAAAAUUUUACAUAUUUUCUUAGUAAUUCAUGUAAAAUUUUUAUCCUAAUUAUAAUGAAUCAAAAACAUUGCAUCUUAAAUCAUUCCAUAUACAAGAUGAACCGCCUUAUUGCCUUAUGGGUGAGUUGCUACUGCAUUGUCUCUUCAGAACUGGAAACCUGGGUUGAGCUGAAGCUACCUACAGCCAGGUUCCUUCUUUUCCCUGUCUGCAUAUCACAUAAAUGUAUGGAUAGAAAUGGCAAUGGUGAUUUUGUUAGUAUUGUUUGCUUUUCCUAAUUGCUCUCUGUGCUCAGGAGAUAACCACUGAGAAGAAAUGUCCAGAAUUCUGUCAUGGAUUUGGUACAGAUUUUUCCAACUAUAGUUGGAGAAAUUUUCCAUGAAUUCAUCUUGUAUACCUUAUGGUAGACUGAAAGGACCUCUCUUCCAUUGGCAGUGAGGUUUAAAUAAUUUAAUGUAUGUAACAGCACAUCUCAACUCCAAUCUACUUUCCUUACAACGUCUCCAUUUCUUGCCUGUUGUUCAAACUUUUGCUGCAUUUUGCUGUUCAGCCGAAAGCUUCUGUGACUUCAAAUCUGAUGACCUCUCUAUGUUGUCUUAUAAUAAAACCCUACAUUCAGACUUUAAGCUUCAACUUCUAUAUUAAUUGAAUACAGCUAUUGCUACAAUAAUGCUACAUAACAAAUCACUCAUAAACUUAGUGGCACAGGGGCUUCCCUGGUGGCGCAGUAGUUAAGAAUCCGCCUGCCAAUGCAGGGGACACGGGUUCGUGCCCUGUUUUGGGAAUAUCCUACAUGCCGCGGAGCAAGUAAGCCCCCGCGCCACAACUACUGAGUUUGCGCUCUAGGGCCCGUGUGCCACAACUACUGAAGCCCGCAUGCCUAGAGCCUGUGCUCUGCAACGAGAAGCCACCACAAUGAGAAGCCCGUGCACCGCAACGAAGAGUAGCCCCCGCUCAACGCAACUAGAGAAAGCCCACACACAGCAACAAAGACCCAAUGCAGCCAAAAAUAAUAAAUAAAUAAAUAAAUUUUAAAAAUAAAUAAAAAGCAAACGUUAUAAAAAAAAAAACCAGUGGCAUAAAGCAUUAACUCACUUGUCUGUGGGGUCCCUGGAUACUUCUGAUUCUGGUUAUAGGUGUGAAGAUCAACUAGGGCAACUGUACUUCAUAUAUCUUAUUCUGGACCCCAGUUUACAGGGGGUGAGGCUGCCUUGAAGCUACCAGGAAAAUACUAUCUAGAGCAUUUUGUUCUCAUGUUGGAGGCUGGAAGCUCAUAGGAAUUUUAGGAUUUAGAAACUUAUCUCUCAAGAAAAUGUGGCCUUCCUACCAUAUAUACAAUAUUUCUCUUAUUUAAAAAAAUUAUAUAUAUAAUUUUUAUUUUAUAUUGGAGUAUAGUUGAUUAACAAUGUUGUGUUAGUUUCAGGUGUAUAGCAAAGUGAUCCAGUUAUACAUAUAUAUGUAUCAAUUCUUUUUCAAAUUCUUUUCCCAUUAAGGUUAUUACAGAAUAUUGAACAGAGUUUCCUGUGCUAUACAGUAGGUCCUUGUUGGUUACCUAUUUUAAAUAUAGCAGUGUGGGGGACUUCCCUGGUGGUCCAGUGGUUAAGAAUCCACCUUCCAAUGCAGGGGACGUGGGUUCGAUCCCUGGUUGGGGAACUAAGAUCCCACAUGCCAUAGGGCAAAUAAGCCCGGGUGCCUGCACUCUGGAGCCUUCAGGCCACAACUAGAGAAGCCCGCACGCUGCAAGGAAGACACACGUAGCCAAAAUAAAUAAAUAAAAAUAAAUAAAUAUAGCAGUGUGUACAUGUCAAUCCCAAACUACCAAUCUAUCCCUCUCCCCCCAGCCCCUUCCCCUCUUGUAACCAUAAUCUCAUUCUCUAAGUCUGUGAGUCUGUUUCUGUUUUGUAUAUAAGAACCACUUUCUUGAUGCCUGAUUCCAGCUGUCCUCAAUUCUUUUCCAGGUUCCUUGACCUUUAUUUGAUAUUGACAUACAUUUUGGAAGUUAGUAAACGGUGAUAAAAUAUUCCACAAACAUGAAGUGAUUGUUUAGUUUUCAGCCUGUUCAGUGAAAUGAAGUAUCAGCUGAUUUGGCACCCAACCCAGCAUGUGACUGUGUUGCUUCCUUCAUGAGUUUUUUUCAGAGCAUGAUGAGGUGGUGAAUAACAGAGGCUCAGAAAUUGGACUCUACGGUUUUGAAUCUUGCCUUCACAACUUUUGUGUGAUGUUGAACAAAUUACUUAACCUCUCAGACUCUCCAUAAAAUGAGGAUAAUGAUAUCUACUUCACAGGGUUGUUGCAGGGACAGAAUGAAAAAAAUACAUGUAAAUCACUUAGAACGAUGCCUGACACAUAUUUAGUAAAUGCUAGCUACUAUUUCUAUUUUAACGAUAGAAUGAGGCACCACUGUAAACUAUCAUGGUAUGUAAUCCAUCCCACCAGUUAGUUAUGGAUAACUGUUACUUAUUCUUUUGUUAAAAAGUAUUGCAUAUGAUGUCUAUGACAUAUUUGCUUCUUAUAAUAAUGAAACUUCAGAAAAUUCACUGUGUGUUAUCAAAUGUGAUUGUCUCGAACAAUUACUGAGUAUGAUCUCAAUCAUCAGAGUGAAAAAACGUUACCGUGGAAUCACAUGGGACUCUGAGACUCUCUGAUACACAUGCACCCCUUACAACACCUACACAGUGACAUACACGCAAAAGGUACUGCUUGCCUCAAUGUUUGCAUGCAAGAACAAACAAGAAAUGUGUGUCUCUGAAAUAAAAUGUUAACUUUUCAUGCCAAUAUAGGUAUUUAUUGUUUGUGGGAACAUCAUUUAAUAGAUAGGUAUUAACACUUUUACAAUUGGUUACUUAGGAUACUGUAUUUUAACUCAGCAUCAGUCAGUUUUUCUGAAAUGUGAUAUAUUUUCUUCCUCCUUUAAUAUUUGUACUAAUAACAAUGGUACCUAACAUUCAUUGACCAAUUACUAUAUGCCUGUGCUUUCUUUGUAUUAACUUGGAACAGCCUGAUGAGCUGGAUACUCAUUAUUUCCAUUUUAUAGGUAAGGCACAGAAGUUUCAAUAGCUUGACUAAGUUAAUAGCUAGUGUGUGGUGGAGCCUAGAUUUGGACCAGUAAUCUCUAGCAUCAACUCAGUUUAACCAUUGUACCAUACUAUACACUAAGUUAUAUAUUAGUGUGUUAAAUGUAUAAUGUUCUACAAAAUGCCUGACAGGGGUUUGCAUUUGCCAUUGGUUGAUUUUAAAUCAAGUGAAAAUUAGAAGUGUGACUCUGAGACUAUGUUAAAGUGAACUUUAUAACAUUUAAAAAAUAAAUUUACUUAUUUUAUUUUUA